CAAUAGCGUAUAUUAAAGUUGUUGCAGUUAAAAAGCUCGUAGUUGGACCUUGGACCUGGACAGGCGGUCCGCCUCACGGCGAGUACUGUCUUGCUGGGUCUUUCCUCUUGGUGAUCUGUUGUUUCGGCAGCAGGGAACCAGGACCUUUACUUUGAAAAAAUUAGAGUGUUCAAAGCAGGCUCGACGCCGGAAUAUAUUAGCAUGGAAUAAUAAAAUAGGACGUGCGGUUCUAUUUUGUUGGUUUUUGGAAUCGCCGUAAUGAUUAAUAGGGACAGUCGGGGGCAUUAGUACUCACAUGCUAGAGGUGGAAUUCUUGGAUUUUGUGAAGACUAACUUCUGCGAAAGCAUUUGCCAAGGAUGUUUUCAUUAA
rnacentral:rRNA from 1 species